rnacentral:rRNA from 1 species
UAAGGAAUAUUGCGCAAUGGACGAAAGUCUGACGCAGCGACGCCGCGUGGGGGAUGAAGGUCUUCGGAUUGUAAACCCCUUUCGGGUGGAAAGAUGGUUCACGACAACGUGAACGGACGGUACCACCAGAAGCAGCCACGGCCAACUUCGUGCCAGCAGCCGCGGUAAUACGAAGGUGGCAAGCGUUGUUCGGAUUUACUGGGCGUACAGGGUGUGUAGGCGGUUCGGUAAGCCCUUUGCUAAAUCUCUG